rnacentral:rRNA from 1 species
UACGGGGGGGGCAAGCGUUGUUCGGAAUUACUGGGCGUAAAGGGCUCGUAGGCGGCCAACUAAGUCCGACGUGAAAUCCCCAGGCUUAACCUGGGAACUGCGUCGGAUACUGGAUGGCUUGAAUUCGGGAGAGGGAUGCAGAAUUCCAGGUGUAGCGGUGAAAUGCGUAGAUAUCUGGAGGAAUACCGGUGGCGAAGGCGGCAUCCUGGACCGACAUUGACGCUGAGGAACGAAAGCCAGGGGAGCAAACGGG